rnacentral:rRNA from 1 species
GCUCCUACGGGGCGCAGCAGUAGGGAAUCUUCCACAAUGGACGAAAGUCUGAUGGAGCAACGCCGCGUGAGUGAAGAAGGGUUUCGGCUCGGAAAGCUCUGUUGGGAGUGAAGAAAGAUAGAGGUAGUAAAUGGCCUUUAUUUGACGGUAAUUACUUAGGAAGUCAAGGCUAACUAAGUGCCAGCAGCCGCGGUAAUACGUAGGGAGCAAGCGUUAUCCGGAAUUAUUGGGGGUAAAGGGGGCG